UAAUUUUUAAAAUUAUUUUUGGCUUUUAAAGUGACAUUUAAUUUAAAGCAACAUUUAAAAGCAAAGGAAAUCUGUGCAGAAAAAGGUGCGCAGUAGGAAUGUUGAGCGCAGGUGUACAGCGACAAGCCGAGGAGAAAACUUUCAACAGUAACAAGUGUUUUUUUUAACUACGACUGUUAUUGUGACACAUAAUGUGGUUUUAAGAUUAUUUUAGGCGAGGAAGUUGUGGUAUAAACAUCAGAUCUGUGGUCAAUGGAUCAUGAUAAAACCUGCUUAAAAUUUUGCUCUAACGAUUACGGAGAUGCGAGCGUCCCGGUGUGACAGCUGUGACAGCGGUCAGUGCUCACAGUAGCCGCCGUGAGCAACCUUAUGUUGGCAAGACUUUCUAAAAUGUGCUGCUGGCUCUGACGGUUGUUCUUUAGUGGAGCUGAUCCGUUUCCAUUAGCAGCGUCAUGCUGCUGAAGAUGUUCUGUCAAAAGGUCCAGGAUGGAGCUGCUCAUGUUCUGUGGAGUCUCCCAGCAGUCAGGGAGGACCUGGUGAUGAAGACAAGAACGUAAUUCAGACCAACUACAGAACCGUCAGAGCCAAUGGCAGAUUUCAGAAAGUCUUGCCGACAUCGGGCUGUCUUUGGCGGCUGUUGACCAUCAUCGCGGCUGCCAGUCUGAGACGCUCACUUCUUCAAAAUCGUUGGAGCAAAAUUUUAGGCAGGCUUUAUCUUGAUCCAUUGACCAUAGAUCUGAUGUUUAUACCGCUACUUUCUCACCUAGAAUCAUCUUAAAACUACAUUAUGUGUCACAAUAACAGUAGCAGUUACAAAGAACACC